AAAUAGUGUAUUUUACUCUAAGAAAAAUACUGAGUAUUUUAACAGUGUCUUUCAAUCAGCCACAAAUACUAAAUCAACACAUCAAAUGUGCUGGUUAAGAUGCUUGAGGAUGUUCCCAAAGGAUCAUCACAUCUUAAUGGUCAUAUCGAGUUGAUCACCUUCACCUGGAAAUCCUGUGCAUCUCUGGACUUCUCAAUACUCCAUAGUAACCUGGACUUCUAAGAAUACAAAGAUGGCACAAUAGGAUCAACAGUGGAUGAACUGGGAAUGACUUCCAGAAGAACAACAUUCGGGUAUCCAAGUGAUAAAAGCAGAACACCAAACUGACGUUUCGGUGCCACCAUCUUAGUGCUGCCAGUGUUUAUCCAAGCAAGUUCCACAGAUGCCAUCUACGACACACUCUAAGUGCAAAGCAGGAAUUGCAGGCUUCCCUUACACUAUUUAAGUUUUUAUCACUUUCUUUUCUUCAGCCAAAGGCAGAUAUAGCUGAAUUAGUUUAUGCUAGAAAAUAGAAUCAUAAGACAUUUCCAAAAUGGGAAGCAGUUAAAGGUGUCAGUUCUCACGCUGCAACAUUAUGAUGAAUACACAUCAGAAUCUUAUCAGAAGUAUUUCAAGUUUAAAGUUAGAACUGUUCUUGGCUGUCAAAGCCCAAAGUGUAGGGGGAUGGACAUUGCUCAAGAAUAAUGUCACCUAAGGGUCAGAAUCCAGCAAAAAUUGACAGUGGAACUCCUUCUGUUACUACAGGAGUCAAGAAGUCCCACAACUACUUCUGCUGCUAAGUUCUUAAAAUUUGUGCUGAUCACGAGUUUCUUAGGGACGUUCUUUCUCAUGAUGUCUUAUGACAUUCUUAAUUAUGCCAUUAUGUCAACUAUGCUGGAGUCUUCUGUUCAAAUAUUAUUCCUAAAAGUUUGUCCAACACCCUAGGAGAACAAUACUGAAUCUAAAACUCCUGAGCCAUAUGCCCCUGAAAAUCCCAGAUUAUAUCCUUUCCUAUAUUAGAAGCAUUGAUGUUA
rnacentral:lncRNA from 1 species